CCAAUUUAAAAAAACGCGGAUCCUACAGGUCGGAUCAGGUCGACGCGCGGAUUCUUCCCCAUCAAACGGUGCCGUUUCAAAUCAAUUAUAAAACUAACAUUUUCUUUAAAAAAAACAUUUCUUGCCAUUUUGUCAACAAAAAAAAACUUAUAAACCCUAGCCUCUGCUAGGGUUUCAACUCAGCCACCGCCACCGCCCUUUUAGCAUCCCGACGUCUUCCUCUGGCCCCGAUUCGGAUGGAGCAAAUAGAGCUCAGUC
rnacentral:lncRNA from 1 species